AAUCGUGUGACCAAGAUCAGCAUUGUUCACAUAUAACUUCAUUAAAGUAAGUAUGUUGACGCCUUGUUAGCAUCUUGUGUAUAAUUAAGUCGUUGAAAAGAGGCCAUCGGGUGGCGGCCCGAUGACCUCAACGCGGUUCAGAUGACUAUUUGGGUAAAAGCUAAUCCUUGCGGUUAGCUUUUUUGAUUAUCGCAUACGCUUUGGCGAUACUGGUAACCAGUAUGCUUAGCGCGAUGAUAAUCGACGCCACAUCCAGCGCGGCGAACCCCUUUCGUCUCCUAGUUUUGGCAUGGCUCUCGCCUCCGCGUCUCAAGAAUGUUGAGGGGUGUGUGCCAUCCAAUCCGCUAGACGAAGAAAACAGGGUAAUUAGUCCUCUCUCUAAGCCUAAGGUCAGUCUAUAGAUUUAAAUGUAUGUGGUCAAUAAGUAUUCUUUGAUUGAAGGUUGCGGUUGCUGGCUUUCUUAAAAAACGAAAAAUUGUUUUGGUUAAAUUUUGUUCAGUGCCGAUUUAUUUAUAUGUCGCUUCUUGCAAAACAAAGAAAAAGCCACGAAUCGUGCAAUUAGUUUAGAUUGCAUGAUUCGUGGCUUUUUGUAUUUAAAAAACAUCACUCGGCAACCUCACCAAGCAAAAUCUUCCAUAUCCUCGGCAUUCAGAAUUCUUACCUGCUUACCUGAACGUUCAAUGAGUUUUUCCUCGGCGAGUCGUUUCAAAGUGCGCGAGACCGUUUCCGGCGUUGUUCCGAGAUAAUCGGCCAAUUGUGUCCAUGCCAUCGGAACUGUGACGGUGUCCUGGCCCGCCGCGGUACGCAAGUCCAGUAGGUAGUGGGUGAGCCGAACGUUGAUCGAAUCGUUACCCAAAUAGCCGGCCUGUUUUUCCAGCGCCUGCAUUUUACGGGCGUUUUCAGUCAGGAGUUGGAGACUGAUUUGCGGCUGCUUGAGAAGCAAUUGUUGAAAGUCAGUGGCACUGAUGGUGCAGACAGUUGCCGCCGUCAGGGUUUCGGUAUAGACAUUCGGAUUAGCGAUAUUGAGUAAGCCGGCUUCACCUUCAUAAUCACCAACACCAUCAACCCGUAGUAGCUGUUCCUUGCCAUUGGUGGCCAACUGGUAAGUUUUGAGUUUGCCGUGCGCAACCACCAACAAAUGGGCGGCCGUAUCAGGGCUGAUCAAAACAGUUCCUUUUUCAACCUGGCGUUCGUGCGUCAACGCGUCAAUGGCGGCACGCGCCUCAUCGUUUAAAUUUUUGAAUAACGGCACUACCGCCGUACAACUGUGCGUCAUGUUGCCACCUCCUAAACGCGUUCGCAGGCGCAGAAACCUGCACAUAAGGACCUUGAACCUAAAUGGCCAAAGCCCAGCCAUUUAGGUUCAAGGCCGCUUAUGCUCCGGUUUCUAAACGCGCCUGCUCACGCUCUGUCAACAAGCUUGAUCAAUCGUCAUCUUCAUCCUCGUCAAGCAAUGCCCGCCCCGCCGUCACUUGGCGGCCAAGUCGAGUUUGCAAGCGCAGAAUGCUUUGUUCAUGCCAGCGCUGCAAUUGUAACAUAUCUGCUGCCAACACAGCUUUGUUCUCCUU
rnacentral:rRNA from 1 species